rfam:Caenorhabditis japonica strain DF5081 Contig14830.1, whole genome shotgun sequence.
GCACGUGUCGCAUUUCACCUGUGGAGCACCAGACUCUUAAUCUGGUUGUCGCGGGUUCGAGCCCCGCAUUGGGCU